AGUAAAUGAUGUUAUCAUUUUGAUAUUUGCUACUACUGAGUGCCAUGACGUCAAAACAUUACUGAUGUU
rnacentral:snoRNA from 1 species